UUCCGGGAGCGGUGCGGCACGAGAGCAGGCGCAGGGCCUGCCUCAGCCCCGCUAUGCACUGCUGCCAUCCUGGAGCCACUUGAGGAAACCAAGCUGCAAACACAGGAAGUUUUUGUGGGUCACGCAGCCUGCUCCUUACACAGGCAUGGCACUUCCGGAAGGGGGCGUGGAGAAGCAGACUUCUGUCAUGUUAUUGAUACCAACAGGGAACAGCAAAAAAAAAAAAAAAAGUCAAAGAAAGCCUAUUCUCCUCAGCUCAGGAAACAGGCUCAUGCAGGACCAGCCACAGAGGGCAGAGGAGGCCCGCUGGGAAAUUAUGCCUCAGAUCUGCUGGCACUGUACCUCUGAUACUCAAAUUGGUAGUGAAGCUGGAAGCACCAUGUGCUCUGUACUUUACCUGCAAACAGCACACACGCCUGCUGCUCAACACUUCAUUUGCAAAAGCCUUUCCCCCAUAUUAACGAGGGCAGCAGCACAGCUGGUGUCUCCAGAAAUUACAGAUUCAAUGCUUUGUUUUUCCUUUGCAAGUAGUUUCAUUGUUUCAGGGUGACUUUGGGGCUGGUACAAGAUGCCAGACUGACAGCUCUGGGGACUGAAGUUCUCCCCGUACCCCGGAAGAGACACGAUCAUACGACAAACCUUCUGCACCACCCUCGUAAGCCUUAAUCACAAACUGCAAGAAUCACCUAGGAAAGAGAGCACAGUCCUGUCUCCAUGGCCAAUUCAGUCCUUGAUUUCCUCUUGAGGCACCCCACAAGAGGAUAACACAACCGGUGCAAGCUGUGGUUUUGGUGACAUGGACAACUGUGUAGUAGACCCCAACUCACACAGGGAUCCCUGGACUGAGACUCCAGCUCACAGGAGUUUCUGAAAUGUAUUGUUUGUUAGAACAAAUAUCAAAUAUUUCACUAAUCCCAUGCAACCAAACAACCUCAUCAACAGACCAGCACAGCAUUAACCUAGUUAGAUUAUAAACUCUUUAGGGCACCGCCCAUCUCUGUUAUAUUUUGUACAGGGCCUAGCACAGUGGGCCUUUCGGGUGCCACCACAAUCAUGAUCUGCAACCCUAUACAAUAACAAACAGGGACUGAGGAGAACAAAGUAGCAAGGAAAGCGAUUGCAGUUUCAAGCCUCCAACAAGAUCUUAGGAACAAGGAAGGGGAAAAAAUGCAGAAAGCCCUUUGGCUGUUUCCCUUUUAAAUCACCAACUGGACAUGUGAGGAGAGAGAAGAGGGAGUGUACAGAGCACAUGUUCUUAGCCUAAGGUGCCACAAGUACUCCUUUUCUUUUUAUGUUUACAAAUAAAACCCAGAAGGACAAUCCUUGCUGGGAAGUGGCUGUCAA